CCUACGGGUGGCAGCAGUCGAGAAUCAUUCACAAUGGGGGAAACCCUGAUGGUGCGACGCCGCGUGGGGGAAUGAAGGUCUUCGGAUUGUAAACCCCUGUCAUGUGGGAGCAAAUUAAAAAGAUAGUACCACAAGAGGAAGAGACGGCUAACUCUGUGCCAGCAGCCGCGGUAAUACAGAGGUCUCAAGCGUUGUUCGGAAUCACUGGGCGUAAAGCGUGCGUAGGCUGUUUCGUAAGUCGUGUGUGAAAGGGGCGGGCUCAACCGGCGGACGGCACAUGAUACUGCGAGACUAGAGUAAUGGAGGGGGAACCGGAAUUCUUGGUGUAGCAGUGAAAUGCGUAGAUAUCGAGAGGAACACUCGUGGCGAAGGCGGGUUCCUGGACAUUAACUGACGCUGAGGCACGAAGGCCAGGGGAGCGAAAGGGAUUAGAUACCCGUGUAGUC
rnacentral:rRNA from 1 species